UACGUAGGGGGCUAGCGUUGUCCGGAAUCAUUGGGCGUAAAGAGCGCGUAGGCGGCCAGAUAAGUCCGGUGUGAAAGUCAAAGGCUCAACCUUUGAAUGCCGCUGGAAACUGUCUGGCUAGAGUCCGGGAGGGGCGAGUGGAAUUCCUGGUGUAGCGGUGAAAUGCGCAGAUAUCAGGAGGAACACCGGUGGCGAAGGCGGAUCUCUGGGCCUUACCUGACGCUCAGGCGCGAAAGGCUAGGGGAGCGAACUGG
rnacentral:rRNA from 1 species